GACGGAGGAUGCAAGCGUUAUCCGGAAUUAUUGGGCGUAAAGCGUCCGCAGGUGGCCUAUCAAGUCUGCUGUCAAAGACCGGGGCUUAACCCCAGAAAGGCAGUGGAAACUGAAAGGCUAGAGGAUGGUAGGGGCAGAGGGAAUUCCCAGUGUAGCGGUGAAAUGCGUAGAGAUUGGGAGGAACACCAGUGGCGAAGGCGAGUCCCUGGACAACACCUGACACUGAGGCACGAAAGCUAGGGGAGCAAACAGG
rnacentral:rRNA from 1 species